CCCACCCCGCAGAGGGAGCCUCUGCUGGUUUCACACCAGCCUGGGGCCUCGUUCUCUCCUCCCUUCCCAUCGCAGACCUGGCUGCCGGGGGCCCUCAGCUCAUCGGCCCGGGGCUGCCCUGCGUGGUCCCCACGCCAGCUUGCCUCCUUUCUUCUCCCAUCUCAGAAACUGAGACAGACCUGGCCUGACUUGGGAUGGGCGACCCUGCCUUCCUCUCUCAGGGCUCCCUCCAGGAGAGGAGCCAGCCUCCUCACCCCUCCUGAGACCCCCACAAGGGGAAGAAACGCCCCCAUGUCCCAGAAGGGAGCGGUGCCUCCGACCGGCUCCCCAGGAAGAGGGUCCAGGUCUGUGGCCGGGUUUCUUCUCCCUCUGUCUAAGGGCCUUGAAAAUCAAGGUUAGCGGUGGUUCUGGCCAAGGGCGCCAGCAAGGUUUCCCCAGGGCGCUGAGAGGGGUACCCAGCAGUGUCCAGUCUGCCUUUGUCAGCCCCGUUCAGGUGAGGCAGUGCCUCCCUGGAUGGACAGGCGUGCGCUGCAGACAGAGGCACAGACAGACAACACAUCUCCGGGCCCCACCCAGCCCUCUGCCAGGUAGACUGACUCGAGGUCUCUCCCCAUCCCUGUUCCACCGGGAUCAUCGGGAACCGGUUGAGCACAGGACACCAGGCGAGGCGGGAGCAAGGCAGGACGCACGGCAUGCGAGAGGAAGGGCAGAGUCGGUGAGCCCCGGGCUGGACGCCCGCCUCUGCCCCUCACUGCCACGCGACCUGAGGCCGGCAGGCUGCUUCGCUUCUCUCCGCUGAAAAGUCGGGAUAAAGAGUCCCCACCUCAAAGGUAGUUCAUUCGGUGCCUAUUCCUCGAGCACCUACUUUAUGCCGGAUACUGUCCUAGACACAGAGAAUGGAGCCUGCCACGGGCAGAGAGAGUCCCCGUGGAGCCCUGCGGUCUGGCACACAGGAAGUGCCCGAUAAAUAUGACCUGUCGUUAGCAUCCAGGGCCCUGCCCUGAAGAAGCCAAGGAGAGAUCCAGCGAUUCUGCUCCUAGCCGAAAGGUGGACACGCACCAACCGCCCAGCCACGUGGAUAAACAACACGUGGCCCAACCGCACAGUGGACUCUGAUUCAGCCGUGAAAAGAAUGAAACUCUCCUCUACAUUGCGCCAAGGAUGGACCUUGAAAACAUGUCCGCUCAGGGAGAGAAGCCAGACACGGAAGACCACGUGCCAUGUGGUUUCAUUUCUAUGAAACGUCCAGAACGAGCAGAAGCCAGGAUGGCGUGGACCACGACUGCCCGACUGGUGCGCCUGAGCCCGCGCCAGACCUUUGAGGGAAAAGACAGCAGCAGAGGAAGGCGAGGCUGCCCCCGUGAUGGGCCUCCCCCAGGACAUGCGUCACUCAAAUGCCCACGAUUCCCCAUCCCCGGUGCUGCUGGUCCCCUGCACAUGCACACACCAGGUCUCCUCCCAUGAGUGGGUCCUAACAGGUGCUGCCCAGCCCAUCCGUGUCUCUGCCAGGCUCCCAGGGAACUUCUGCAGCAGCCCAGCAGCUUGGGCGAUGAGCCGACCUCCGGAUGGAAGAGGAGGGUCUGAGCCAGUGACUCUCCACACCCAGGACCCUAGGGCUCCCCACCUUGCUGGGAAAGCCCAGGAUAACCAGAGCCAGGCCUUGGGGGCAGCGCCCCACCCCUCAGUGUGCCCCCACCCCCGCCUGCUCCUGAAUGCUGUGCACACGGAAACCCUUGCCUUGGCCCGGGAACUGUCAGGAGAUCGACAAACAAAAGCUGCUUCUUGACAGGGAGUCAUUUAUAUUUUAGCUUCGUUCCAUUAUCCUAACGAAUCCUUCAUCAGCAGAUGCAAUAUUAACAGCAGAAAAUCAGCUCAUUACAUCUGGGGGGAUUUCAUCAAGACGGCAAUCAUCUCUGCAGCUCCCCAAGCCUUCCAGGGGCCAGUGUGGCGGUUAUUUAUUUAUUUUGUUACUUAUUUAUUUCAUUUUUGGGGUUCUUGCCACGUAAUUGCACCGCAGCUCGGAUCUUUAAUAAAUAAUCUGCAGGCCCCGCACUGCAGACGGCUUUGCUCUCCGCCACAAGAGCCUGCGUUCGCCAAAAUAUUUACCAAUAUUUAAAAGUCAUUAGAAUCAGGAGCGAAGUGGGGCGGGGGUACUCAGUUCUUGUAGAAACGCCCGCGUGGGGGGGCUACGGCGCUGGCCUUCACUCCAGUCCUCCCACCGCGCCUCUCAGUCCGUGGGGAGCCGUCUGGACCGGGAGCUCCUGGAGGGCAGGCCCACCUUGCUCCUCAGGGCUCACUUAGUUUGAGCAUCUCUAGGGAUGACUGCGAGCUCCUCGUGGCUGCUGGAAAGGACCCAG